AGCAAGUUAGCUCAGUUGGUUAGAGCGCGGGACUCAUAAGCCCGAGGCCAGUGGUUUGAUUCCACUCCCCGCUACCA
rnacentral:tRNA from 1 species